UGAAACCAGAAGCCAAAAGGAUUUGGAGU
rnacentral:piRNA from 1 species